rnacentral:rRNA from 1 species
GGGCGUAAAGAGCUUGUAGGCGGUUUGCCGCGUCUGCUGUGAAAGCCCGGGGCUUAACUCCGGGUGUGCAGUGGGUACGGGCAGGCUAGAGUGCAGUAGGGGAGACUGGAAUUCCUGGUGUAGCGGUGAAGUGCGCAGAUAUCAGGAGGAACACCGAUGGCGAAGGCAGGUCUCUGGGCUGUUACUGACGCUGAGAAGCGAAAGCAUGGGUAGCGAACAGGAUUAGAUACCCUGGUAGUCCGUGCCGUAAACGUUGGGCACUAGGUGUGGGGGACAUUCCACGUUUUCCGCGCCGUAGCUAACGCAUUAAGUGCCCCGCCUGGGGAGUACGGCCGCAAGGCUAAAACUCAAAGGAAUUGACGGGGGCCCGCACAAGCGGCGGAGCAUGCGGAUUAAUUCGAUGCAACGCGAAGAACCUUACCAAGGCUUGACAUACACCGGACCGCUGCAGAGAUGCAGUUUCCCUUCGGGGCUGGUGUACAGGUGGUGCAUGGUUGUCGUCAGCUCGUGUCGUGAGAUGUUGGGUUAAGUCCCGCAACGAGCGCAACCCUUAUCCUAUGUUGCCAGCACGUGAUGGUGGGGACUCAUGGGAGACUGCCGGGGUCAACUCGGAGGAAGGUGGGGAUGACGUCAAAUCAUCAUGCCCCUUAUGUCUUGGGCUUCACGCAUGCUACAAUGGCCGGUACAGUGGGUUGCGAUGCCGUGAGGUGGAGCUAAUCCCUAAAAGCCGGUCUCAGUUCGGAUCGAAGUCUGCAACUCGACUUCGUGAAGUUGGAGUCGCUAGUAAUCGCAGAUCAGCAAUGCUGCGGUGAU